AACGAACGCUGGCGGCAGGCUUAACACAUGCAAGUCGAGCGCCCCGCAAGGGGAGCGGCAGACGGGUGAGUAACGCGUGGGAACGUACCUUUUGGUUCGGAACAACUCCGGGAAACUGGAGCUAAUACCGGAUAAGCCCUAACGGGGAAAGAUUUAUCGCCGAAAGAUCGGCCCGCGUCUGAUUAGCUAGUUGGUGAGGUAACGGCUCACCAAGGCGACGAUCAGUAGCUGGUCUGAGAGGAUGAUCAGCCACACUGGGACUGAGACACGGACCAGACUCCUACGGGAGGCAGCAGUGGGGAAUAUUGGACAAUGGGCGCAAGCCUGAUCCAGCCAUGCCGCGUGAGUGAUGAAGGCCUUAGGGUUGUAAAGCUCUUUUGUCCGGGAAGAUAAUGACUGUACCGGAAGAAUAAGCCCCGGCUAACUUCGUG
rnacentral:rRNA from 1 species